GUCCUACGGGAGGCUGCAGUGGGGAAUAUUGCACAAUGGGGGAAACCCUGAUGCAGCAACGCCGCGUGAAGGAAGAAGGCCUUCGGGUUGUAAACUUCUUUAGCCAGGGACGAAAAAAUGACGGUACCUGGAGAAUAAGCCACGGCUAACUACGUGCCAGCAGCCGCGGUAAUACGUAGGUGGCAAGCGUUGUCCGGAUUUACUGGGUGUAAAGGGCGUGUAGGCGGGUUAACAAGUCAGAUGUGAAAUUCCGGGGCUCAACCCCGGCGCUGCAUCUGAAACUGUUAAUCUUGAGUGCUGGAGAGGAAAGCGGAAUUCCUAGUGUAGCGGUGAAAUGCGUAGAUAUUAGGAGGAACACCAGUGGCGAAGGCGGCUUUCUGGACAGUAACUGACGCUGAGGCGCGAAAGCGUGGGGAGCAAACAGGAUUAGAUACCCCUGUAGUCCU
rnacentral:rRNA from 1 species